UUCCUGCUUUCCACAAGCCAUGUUUUCUUGAUAUUUUCAGUUCAAGUGACGGGCAGUAUUAGGUCGGAUCAAAGUUACUCUUUAGUUAGUGCAGUCUAGUCUCCUCACUCAAGGAGAAUAUUAAACACAAUUGCUAAUAACUGACAUCCAGGUUGAUUAACCGUGCGUGGAUCAUAAAAAGAGUGGUCACAUAGGGACAAUCGCUAAAGGUGGAAGUAUCCUAACUUUGGUAUUCAAGUAUACCUACCUCUAACAACGCAUUAGUGCAACACUGUUGUUCUUUUACAACAAACUGCCAAAGAACAAAAAGCACCUACUGCUCGCGGAGAUGAGGUUCACAAGAUGCAUCACGAUGAUACAGUUUGAAAUGCUACUGAACGUCAUCUUUGUUGCAGGUGGUGAGGAAUCCUGUGCUGCAGCCCUUAAUGCAUCUAUGCCAAACAAGAUGGAGGCAUUGAGCGAC